UACGGAGGAUGCAAGCGUUAUCAGGAUUCAUUGGGUUUAAAGGGUGCGUAGGCGGGCUAUUAAGUCAGUGGUGAAAUCCUGCAGCUUAACUGCAGAACUGCCGUUGAUACUGAUAGUCUUGAGUUUGGUUAAGGUAGGCGGAAUGUGUAAUGUAGCGGUGAAAUGCUUAGAUAUUACACAGAACACCAAUUGCGUAGGCAGCUUACUGAGCCGACACUGACGCUGAGGCACGAAAGCGUGGGGAUCAAACA
rnacentral:rRNA from 1 species